rnacentral:rRNA from 1 species
UACGAAGGGUGCAAACGUUGCUCGGAAUUAUUGGGCGUAAAGCGCACGUAGGCGGCCUAGCAGGUCGGAUGUGAAAUCCCUCGGCUCAACCAAGGAAGUGCAUUCGAAACCGCAAGGCUCGAGUCCCGGAGAGGAUGGUGGAAUUCUCGGUGUAGAGGUGAAAUUCGUAGAUAUCGAGAGGAACACCGGCGGCGAAGGCGGCCAUCUGGACGAGGACUGACGCUGAGAUGCGAAAGCGUGGGGAGCAAACAGG